rnacentral:miRNA from 1 species
UUCUUGUGUCUUUUUGGGCAGGUGG